UUUUUUUAUGAGCAAACAACUUAUCUAAGAGUUUCUUUUGCCCAGCUUGUGGGCAGGAGAGCAAAGAGUCAUUGUAAGCAAAAGGUCAAUAGUCAACAAGUUCCAAAUUUCCUCCAGUGAACUUUGCUUUGAGUAGAUUAUUUUUCAAAGCAAAAAUUAGUGCACCAGUACACUUCCUGUCUUUGACUACAGGCGCUUGUUGCAGCACAGUAAAUUCAGAUUUACCUUGCAAAUAUUUAAUCCUCCAAUUUAUUUUGAGUCCCAUCCCACUAGUGCACCACAGUUUGAGGGCCAUGCUUGUAAACUAAUGCUGAGGUGCAAACAUGUCUGUCAUCUUGUUUACUUGUGAACACAAAGGUCCUAAAGAAACAUUUGCAUGGAGCAUUAGUAACUCAUUUCAAUCUAGUGAAACAUAUCACACACAACUGUGCACUCUCAGGUUUAGGGUGAUGAGUGAAGAUGAAGACACGUCAACUAAAACACCAACUGCAUCCUAACUUAUAUCACAUGGGAAGCCAGCACAUCAUCCCAUUUGUGUUUGCCUCCAAAAUGGAUGGCAGCACUUCCAGACACAACAGAUAACCCGAUUAAAGCGGCUUUAAUUGGAAAUUUAACAGCGUGGCAAUGCAAUAAGCUCAACAAAUGUGACAAUUAAUUCGGAGACUAAUCAAUAGGAGGCUGUCUGCGGGUCUGUGGUGCUCUCGGCCUCAGCAGUCAGCUCUGUUCUGCAACCCAUCCGUCCCUGCAGCAGAUGCAACACCUCUUCAGAAACGCACGAAUGCAAAACACCAGCCGCAAAAUCACAGCACGUCGUUCUUUUUGAUUGAUCUCAAACUCGCACAUGAGAGCAAACCCACUUCUACAGGAACAGUCUGGUCAUACGACCGUGGCGCUUUAAAGCGUGUUAUUUAUCUCCCCUCUUCUCUCCUGAGAUGGAUUCAACCCACAGAGCAAAACAGAGGACGAGGCGGCUGCACCGGUUUGGAGCAGAAGGAGAACAGAGGGAGAGACUCGUCCCCGCCGGAAAGCCUGUCGCCGCCGUGUGUUCGGAUGAUGACGAUGGAGUGAGAAGUCUGUCAAGCCACACUAGCAGCAUCGAGCACUUCCGGUUAGGACUUUCAAAAUAAAGCAUCUGUUUCUGGAGGAAAGCGAAUACUCCAUUUAAUUACAUUUAAUUUUACAUACUUUAUUGAAUAUUAUUUCACUAUUUAUCGCAUAGAAGCAUAAUAAUAAACACCACAAUUCAUUUUCAAAGCAUAAA